GGGGUGACUAGUGGCAGAGUGAGGGAGGGAAGGGGUGACUAGUGGCAGAGUGAGGGAAGGAAGGGGUGACUAGUGACAGAGUGAGGGAGGUGGUGACUGUCACUAGUCACCACCUCCCUCACUCUGUCACUAGUCACCACCUCCCUCUGUCACUACUCUCUCCCUCCUUCUGUCACUAGUCACGCCCUCCCUCACUCUGUCACAUGUCAUCCCCUCCCUCACUCUGUCACCAGUCAUCCCC